UAAGAGAUAAUAAGCCACAAUAGAGUGGCAGAGUGCUUACUGCAGUUUCUUCGGUUCUUGAUUGGGGUAACAGCCCCUUCCUCCCUCCAAUCAACAUAAUCUGGGAGGUUGUCUUUGACAUGUGGAUUGGGCGGGGUCCUUCCCCUCCGGUUCUCGGUGCGCCCCAUGGACAUGUUGAUUGGAGGGAGGAAGGAGCUGUUACCCCAAUCAAGAACCAAAGAAACUGCAGUAAGCACUCUGCCACUCUAUUGUGGCUUAUUAUCUCUUACUCUUUUCUUUAUCCUUUUUCUUUUCAAUUGGAAGAAAAAAAAUUUAAAUUCGUAACCUGCUUUUCUUAAAGAUAAAGAAAGAGUAAUCUGUUUUAUUCGUGAGUGAAUUAUACCAACUUCAUUCUAGAUCAUUUAUAAAUUAUUUCUUACCUGUAUUAAAGUUUUAAGAGAAAAAC
rnacentral:lncRNA from 1 species